rnacentral:tmRNA from 1 species
GGGGAUGUACCGGUUUCGACGGGGUUUUUGACGCUUCGGUCGCAGGCAGAGGUGCCCGUUGGCCUCUUUAAAAAGCGGGAAUCUAAAAUUAAACGCUAACGAUAAUUUAGCACUCCAGGCUGCCUGACGGCAGUCCGUCGCCCUUCCGGCUGCCGGACCGGGAGCAAGCGGCGUCAAAAUUCCGGCCCUGUCCGUAUGCAGGUCAAAUCGGAGAACGGCGUCUGCAAAGCUUUGAGCCGGCGCGGCACUUAUGAAGCUACCGGAUACUUGACACUGACUGCCGCGGUCGGUUGAAGGGAAUUUCUUAUGGCAGUCUAAGCCUGUAGAAGCCGGUGAUGAUAAGAUUCCGGACAGGGGUCCGAUUCCCCUCAUCUCCAU